rnacentral:rRNA from 1 species
AGAGCGGCGGACGGGUGAGUAAUGCCUAGGAAUCUGCCUAGUGGUGGGGGAUAACGUUCGGAAACGGACGCUAAUACCGCAUACGUCCUACGGGAGAAAGCGGGGGACCUUAGGGCCUCGCGCCAUUAGAUGAGCCUAGGUCGGAUUAGCUAGUUGGUGAGGUAAUGGCUCACCAAGGCGACGAUCCGUAACUGGUCUGAGAGGAUGAUCAGUCACACUGGAACUGAGACACGGUCCAGACUCCUACGGGAGGCAGCAGUGGGGAAUAUUGGACAAUGGGCGAAAGCCUGAUCCAGCCAUGCCGCGUGUGUGAAGAAGGUCUUCGGAUUGUAAAGCACUUUAAGUUGGGAGGAAGGGUAGUAACUUAAUACGUUGCUACUUUGACGUUACCGACAGAAUAAGCACCGGCUAACUUCGUGCC